GGCUCGGUGGUGGAUGGCUCACAUUUGUAUCAUGUAGGGGGAGAUUGUAUCCGCAUUGAACAGAAGAAGCUCGUUCGAAUCGGGCCCGAGCCA